AUAAUGAUACAUCCGUCAAGUCCUAUUGCCGAGCGUGUUAGCAACCGUCGCAGCGCUGGAUGGCGGCCGCGGGCGAUCCUCGCGGUGGUGAGAUUCCAAUGA
rnacentral:ncRNA from 1 species